UCCACAGCGCCAAAAGAACAUUUUUUGCUUACAAAUAAUACAACCCUACUAGGAGACAGAAAGUUAAACUGAUGUGCAUAAUGAUCAUGUAACUUAACCAGUACAAGGACAGGAAUGCAUAAUUUCAAAAAAAAUGAAAUACAUAAUUUCAAAAACAAAAUACAGGUUUAUGAUAAAAGAAAUUAUGAUGGAGAGGUGUAGGUUAUAAUAAAUAGAUGGAGAGGAGUAGGUUAUAAUGUGUUAUAAUCAAAGAAAUUUAAAUCAUUUUGGCAAUUAACAUUCUAUUCAGACCUCUCUGACUUGUAUACUUGGUAAAGUAUUACAUGUUAACUAAUGUGAAAUAGUGCAAACUGAAAAGCACCUCAUGCCAUAAAAUUGGCACUUACAU
rnacentral:lncRNA from 1 species